CUACGGAGGAUGCGAGCGUUAUCCGGAUUUAUUGGGUUUAAAGGGUGCGUAGGCUGUGCGUUAAGUCAGGGGUGAAAUGCCGUCGCUCAACGACGGAGCUGCCCUUGAUACUGGCGUGCUGGAGUACGGAUGCCGUUGGAGGAAUGAGUGGUGUAGCGGUGAAAUGCUUAGAUAUCACUCAGAACACCGAUUGCGAAGGCAUCUGACGAAUCCGUCACUGACGCUGAGGCACAAAAGCGUGGGGAUAGAACAGGAUUAGAUACCCUGGUAUUCCACGCCGUAAACGAUGAUGACUAACCGUCGGCGAUAGACAGCCGGUGGCCAAGCGAAAGCGAUAAGUCAUCCACCUGGGGAGUACGUCGGCAACGAUGAAACUCAAAGGAAUCGACGGGG
rnacentral:rRNA from 1 species